AAGUCGUAACAAGGUAACCGUAGGUGAACCUGCGGUUGGAUCAUUAAAAAAUCAAAAGCCAGUCAUCGAGUACCGCUUUGUCAAGGGUGACCGUUCGACUUGUUGACGCUAAGUCCAAGUUGAAGCUUGGUGUGCGCGAAGCAAAGCUGGGAAAAAAUGAAUGUUGGCACCACAUCUUGUGAACAGUAAAUGUCUUUGGUGGUUGGGCGGUUUGCUUGUUUCGAGCUUCCGUCUGUCAGCUUGUGUUUAACAACUCAAGCCGUGGACAAGCCACCGUUUGUUUGUCUAAACCUAUUUGUCUUCUAUUUUUUUCUGUCUAACAUUUUUUUUGUAUAAAUAUACAAACAACUUUUGGCAACGGAUCUCUUGGUUCUC
rnacentral:misc_RNA from 1 species